CUCUCUCUCUUUCUUUGCCUUCCCCUCAGAAACAUCACUGUUAUCCUGAAGUGAUCCGAUUUACGCAUAUAAGGGUCUUCUAUCAGGAAAUCUCUGACAAGUGUACUUUCAUUGCUUGUGGAAUUUUAAGAUCAAUCCGAGCGUUGGACCAAAGAUCCACCGUCAACCACUUUGAGAUUUCUAGCAAGCUAUCUAGAUUCUUGGAUCACCAUCCUCAGCUCUCUAGCUAGCUCAUCAGUUUAAACCAAAUCGAUCUAAGUGGCAAUAGAUUGAUACUAAAGGAAGAGCCCUGGCCACAUUAUUAGAAAUUUUCACUACAAUAACCAUA
rnacentral:lncRNA from 1 species